rnacentral:rRNA from 1 species
UACCCGCAGCACAAGUGGUGGUCAUUAUUAUUGGGCCUAAAGCAUCCGUAGCCGGUCAUGCAAGUCCUCCGUUAAAUCCAGCCGCUCAACGGUUGGGCUGCGGAGGAUACUACGUGGCUAGGAGGCGGGAGAGGCAAGCGGUACUCAGUGGGUAGGGGUAAAAUCCUUUGAUCCAUUGAAGACCACCAGUGGCGAAGGCGGCUUGCCAGAACGCGCUCGACGGUGAGGGAUGAAAGCUGGGGGAGCAAACCGG